GUCUAUGGCCACACCACCCUGGAUGCUCCUGAUCUCAUCUGAUCUCAGACACUAAGCAGGGCUGGGCCUGGGUAGUACUUGGAUGGGAGGGAGAAAGACCUCGUUCAUAUAUAUA
rnacentral:rRNA from 1 species